rnacentral:rRNA from 1 species
AUUGAACGCUGGCGGCAGGCUUAACACAUGCAAGUCGAGCGAGCGGCGGACGGGUGCGUAAUGUCUGGGAAACUGCCUGAUGGAGGGGGAUAACUACUGGCAACGGUAGCUAAUACCGCAUCCCAUCAGAUGUGCCCAGAUGGGAUUAGCUAGUAGGUGGGGUAAUGGCUCACUUAGGAGACGAUCCCUAGAUGGUCUGAGAGGAUGACCAGCCAAACUGGACCUGUGAAACGGUCCAGACUCCUACGUGAGGCAGCAGGGGGGAAUAUUGCACAAUGGGCGCAAGCCUGAUGCAGCCAUGCCGCGUGUGUGAAGAAGGCCUUCGGGUUGUAAAGCACUUUCAGCGAGGAGGCGUUACUCGCAGAAGAAGCACCGGCUAACUCCGUGCCAGCAGCCGCGGUAAUUC